rnacentral:lncRNA from 1 species
GAGGGGUCCGCGAGCAACCACAGCGUGAAUCGAGGAUGGAACCCGGUGCCGCGGGUAUGAAGGGAGAGUGGCUGUGCACCCCCAGGAGCCCUGGCUACAGGAGCACACUGAGGAGAGUCCGAGAUGGCGGCAGGGUGCGGAGGACUGGCGGUGGCAGCGGUACACAGGAGCCGUGACAGUACUGGCUGCUGCCACCUCGGGGUACGCCGUCCCCCUUUACAAUAGCGUACUGCACUAAACUGGGACUUCCUAAGGGAAGGCAGCUUGAGGGGGAAGAGCACGGAGAGAGGAGGAGGGGCACGUCAGGAGUAGCCAGGAGAGGGCGGGGGUUGGGAAGGAGAGACUGAAUCUUGGAGAAAGAGAGAGCAGCAGAUACUGGUAAGCGGGAUAAAGACAGAGAGGGAGAGGGAAUCUGCGCGGGGAGAGGGGGAAAAAAUAUUCCCAAAGAAGGGCUAGGAGGAAGGCGUAAGGAUUGGGACUGCUCGCAGGUGUCAGACUUCUUGGAAACAUCUGUCGGCUGUGCCUGGGGCCCAGGGACAAAGCGGCAGCGGGAGCGGAGCAGGAACAGCCCAGUACUGGCCCACAGAGAUGGUGUAAUUUACACGGUGAACGUGGUCUUUGUCUAACUUUUCUGAUGUCAGGAAGCAGCUCUUUAGAGAUCUGGCGGGAAGGGCUUCUGUGAAAACUGCUUGAGUAAUUCUGGGGUGUAAAGAGGAUGUUGCUGAAGUCCUACCAGAGAUACUGUGGCGGGCGAGCAGGCCAGCGGCAGAGGAUGUGAGCCUGGCGGAAGAAUUCGGAGGAAGAGAGCCGCGGUUUUGAGUAUCGUCGGGUCUCUGCUGUUGGAGGGGGAGAAGGGGUGGGGCGAAGAGAACAAACGAGGUGCUAAAGAAUGGGAUUAGAACUCCUAAAAUUGCACGGCUUUUUUUCCUCCCUUCCUGGUAUUUGCUUAUCAAAGACUGCGUUACUGGGGCUCGGAGUGCCCAGAGAGACCCUCCCCCCAAGCUCAUUUCUCAUGUCUGUUGCCGGGUGCAGGCAAGGAGAGAAAAGCUGCAUGAAAUGAUGUCACAGUUCCUCUGCUCACGGAGAGUGCUAUCAAAACCAGAUACUUUUCAAACUCGCACGGUUGAUUUUGUCUCAUUCUGUGUGGUUUUGUUGUUCUGGUUCUUUUCUCCUUCUCCGUCUUGUCUAAGAGCCAUAAUUAAAUGCUGCCUUGGAAGACUUUGAAUCAGGGAGGCAGGGAUAGAUUUAUACUGGUAUAGAUUCCUGAUUAUAGUGGAUCAAUUUAGGGAAGGCUUUGUGGCCUUUUCUGUGGAUAGCAUUGUUUAAUAUUCUUGUGGGAGACAGUAGGCUGUUUGUGUCAGAGGAAAGCCAUUCUACUCUAUUCUUCGAGAUGCUGAAAAGUUACUACUUCUCAUAUUAAAGUGUGGUGUGGGAAGGGCAGUUGCUGUGUUAGGUAAUUUAAAUUUGCAUUUCGUGGAUCCACUGAAAUGAUUUCACUGUCUCUGAAGUCUCAUUUGCUGUUGCCGCACUCAUUUGGUUGAAGAGAGGGCUAAAUUUCACCUGCCUCCCCAACAAGUUACAGAAAUAAGAAAUUCAAGAUGAUGAAGCAUAUCUCCCAAGGGGUACUGUCCAUUAAUAAUUAUAUCAAUUCAUGCGGAUUGAUAAGGAAGGAGAGUGAGAGGGUAAGUGGAAAGAACAAAGUCAAGUCAGGGGAAAAGAAUAGUUGCUACCAGGCACAUUUGUUACUGACAGAAAGGCUGCCUCAGCAGGGGCAUGCAAGGGAGAUUCCCUUCUUCCUUGCAGUGUAGUUGCUAAUCAUAAAUAUGCAGUCUGGAUUUGGAUGCAUCUCUUGUUUAGUCACAGCAGAUCCACCUGCCCUGAGCCACCAAUAUAAGAUCAUGUAACUGUUUUUAGGGCUUUCUUCAUUCCCAUUUUGAGAUCACUCCAAUACUGAGGAGUUUUGAAGUAAAAAUACAGCUGACCAUUGAAGGAGGAGAUACUUAUCAAUCUGAUAAUAUUUUUUCUUAGAUGCUACCUGAUCUCUGUGCUGAAAAAGAAAAGCUCUGGGUUUUGUUUUGUUUUGUUUUAGAAUUUAAUUCCUUAAAUUCAACCCGCGUUGCAGCUUCAGUUUGCUUUGCUAGCCUCAUAUAAUUGCAGGUGACUGCAUCCAUUCCUGUAUUGCCUUUUGCAUCAGUGUGCUCUUGGUCAAAUUACACACGCAGAUUUUUGUUCCUUCUCAUGUAUGGAUAUCUCUAUAAUCCCUAGAUGUUCUUAUCCUCUGUUCUGAGUUCUCUUUUAUUUGACUUACUCUUUCAGCGGAACAGAGAAUAGUAGGUAUGGCUGUGUAUUUACUAGUAAAGACCACUACUUCAAGGAACUGGAGCUUGUGUGAAGCAGGAUUGUUACCUCUCUAAUGACUGAAACCAUGCAGAAAGACUUGCUCUCUUGCUUUGUUCUUAGGUCCUCAGCUCUUCCAAGCUGUUAACUGCGGUAAGAACACCUUGGGUUGUAGAGACUGUUUUUAGAGGAGAUUAGUUAAGGAAUGUCUUCUCUUUUCUUUUGCCCAAGGCUGUUUUCAGCUUCUGUAUUUUGCUUGCAGGCUGACCCACUGAUAUGGUGUAAAUGCUUUUUUGGGGAAAGGAAAUUAGAGGUCCUAAGGAGACAGCAGCUUACUGUUCAGUAUACGCUGCUUCUGUAGGCUGCCAGCAUACAUAUCUGACAAGAUAGCUGAUACCUCAGUUGUCUGAUAAUUGUCUUAGAUAAGCAUAAAGUCUAUACACAUUCACUGUGUACAUUUCACCGUGCUCAGGUGCAGCUGUCUUCCCUCUUCUCUCCUAUGAUACUACAUAUGCCAUGUGGAGAAUGAAAAUCAUAUGAGAUUGCUAUAGUUUCUCACCUCUUACCCUGCGUGUCUCCAUUAAGAAAGUGUUGCUUUGUGGCCAGCUCAUCCUUCCCUUGAAUUUCUAUGAGACUUACACAUGCUCUUCCCCUGGCCUCAGGAAUGCUUCCCUCUACAGGUCUGCUCCUGCUAAAACCUGCUUUUCCUUGUUAGGCAUGUAUUAUUCCUUAGUAGCUCCUGUGGGAAAGAUUCUCCUAAAGUCACUGAAAAUCAGUGCAAAGAACCUUUGGCAUACUGUUCGCAUUUCAUGGUUUAUUUCUCAUUUCUGUUGCCAUAUUUAUAUAUGGUUACACAUAAGCAAUAGAAGAUGCAAGAAAUAGAAAGUGGUAUGUAUGAUCAAGCUAAAUGUAUAUAGUGAUUUAAGAACCAAAAAGGGUAACAGUAUAUACACAACAGGCACUAAUGUGAAGAGUAUUUGCGAAGAAUAUUCCAGAGAGGGGGCUUUCUUUCAUAAAUACAUAAUGAGGUUAUUUUGUUGUUGUUGUUGUUGUUUUGUUUUUUUGGUUUUUUUUUCAGAAAUCCCAAUGGCUUUUCUAUGAAGAGAAAAGCUGGUUAAAGCUUUAGGAAGAAACUGAGGAGUCUGCUAUAAUUUUGUCAGUAUUUUCAUUUAUAUAUUUUUCUUAAACAUUCUUUAAUAUUACGCUACUAUCAUAUCUUACUGUUUAAGAAAGGAAUAUCUUUGUUCUGUCAGGAGGCUUUACAUCACCUUACAGCAAUACAGCUAACAUACUUUUCUAGCAGCUAACUCCACAAAUUCAGCAAGUUUCCAAGUAUUUACAACCUUAUUAACAAGCUUCUCCCUGUUGAGACUUGUGCCAGACAUCCCUCUUCUCUCCAUAUUUGUUCUCUUUGGCAGCGUUGUGGACUUCAGGGGAUCUGCAAGAUUAUAAAUUGCAAGAAUUUAGCAAGUAGUUCUGUAGAUGUUGUGAAGCAGAAAACUGGCUCUCUGCUAAGCGCUUACAAUUGAGCAAGGCAAGCAGACUCCCAGAAGGGUAAAAAAUUUCUUAAUUACUCAUGUCAUCCACAUGAGAGGAGUAAAUCUGCUCAGUAAGAAGAUGCCAUUUUAUAUUAUCACUCUUGUGUUCAAUUUACACUUGGAAUUUUAAAUUUAACAAAGAAAAGAACUGCACUGAUGCUUUCUUCUGAGAAGCAUGUGUUGUGCUUUGAUGAAAUAUUCUUCUGCCGUCAGGAACAGAAUUUUUUAAAUGUACUAUUGAUGUUUUAAGUUACUUUGCUAUUUUGGGUUUGGGUUUUUGUGCAUGUGUAUUUUAUUUUUAAAGUGUUUAGUUUAUGAAGGGACUGGCACAUAGUUUUUUUGUGUGUGUGCUGUUUGUUUUUGCUUGUUUGUUUUUUUGUAAUACAAAAUGCUGUAUUUUGUCCUAAAAAAAAAAAAAGAAAAGUAUCCAUGGAGAAGGCUAAUGCUCCUGUCAUGGAGCUGAUAAUUGUCCUGGAGCUCUGUUGACCACUUUUGAGCUUGGGAAUCAAGCGUACCUUGUCAGUUUUCCAUGUUUCCAGAAGCUUCCGUAUUCUUCUACUCAGGGCUUGUUUGCCAAGAAAAUGGAUAUUCAGUUGUUUCGUGUGCACGUGUGUACACAUGUGCAUGCACAUGCACAACUGCACUUAAUGAGGAGAAUAAAAGUGCUGUCUUGGGACUAGAGAAGUUGCUGUAUAGUCAGCCCCUCCAGUCUGAAAACUGAUGCCUUACAUAUGAAGGUUAGAUCCUUAAGGCCUUGAUUCACCUUAGGAUGGAAAUUCUUGCCUGUCCAGACCUGUGGAUCAAAGCAUCCAUGACUUCAUUUUCAGACAGUCUUUGUUUUGUUUUGUUUCCCCAGGCUUACCAUGCAAAUGAUUCCUCUGCUGAUUCUGGAGUUUCUAAGUGCAGCCUUUCUGUGUCAUGUCCAUGGAAAAUAUUCUGUGUGUUUAGAUCAUAUAAUUAAACACUAGAAGAAGAGACAGAGGAUUACUAUCUAUCUGUUUAUUUUUUUUUCUGUUUUAGUAAGCUUUUGAUUUUGAAAGGUAAAAUGUGGCAUACUGGUGUACCUCCAAGUUCUGUAAAGCUUUCAAAUCUCCCUAAAUGACAUGAUUUCUCUUCCACUUAAUAUAAAACACACACAUGAUAUGAAUGUAUUUGGCCCAGUUGACCACUUCAGAGGCACUGUGUGGGAUGGAGGUGCAUGUGUGGGGCUCUUAGCAUCAUAUAACAGGUUCUCACAGAUCCUGAGGAUGUCUACAUUGGAACCAGGGUUCCUUGACAGAACUGUUUUUUCCUCCUCAUUAUUCUUUAAGAAGAAGAUGGAAUGUCACAAGGGAUAUCACUGCAGAGAUUUCUAGACAGGUUUUGAAUUGAAGUUAUCCAAUUUGGAAAUUCAAGCUUUAGACUGUUUAUAAAAAUUGAACUUCCAAAUGUUCCUUUACUCACAGCUUAGUUCAGUGUAAUCUCAGUAAACAGGAUCAGAAAUACUUUCUGUACUAAGGAAGAUACUCGGAAUUAAUUCUUCUGGGCUUUGAGCCAGAAGAAUUGCUGCUGGAAAUACAGCAAGAUUGGGAUGCUUUCUUGCAGUUUUCUCCCAGAUAGUCCUUUUCCUUGCUAAUGCCAGUAGGCUUUGAGCUAGUGCCAGCAGCAAUGGGAAUGCAAAUGUACUGGCAUUUUCACUUUUCAGUGACUUUACUAAUCCCAUUUGGAGCAUAGAAGGGCCAUCAUUGUAGUACCAGGAAUUCUGUUGAGGAAUGUUCGAUUAAUUACUAGCACAGGAAUUACCUUACUGGCCUUCUCCUCUAGUACCUCCCUAAGCAUACUUUGGGACUUAGCAGUGUAGCAUGAUUUGAUAACAAAUUGUGUUGACCUAAGUAUAAAUUAGUGGUCUGUUCAGAUCUAACUGAUAAACAGAGACUUGACAGAGGCAAUUUUCCAUAGUUUGCAUGUGUCUUAGUGUUGUGUUCUGCUGGGACAUACGAAUCUGGGAGUCAGGUGCUGAAAAGUAAUUAGUUUUCUUUUUGUGCCUUACUAUAGCAUCAUUUUGCUCAGGGCCUCAGGCUAUUUACCAAGAAGACGUUUUUUGAAACAGCAUUAUGGGAAUGAUGCAUACCUUGUGCUCUUUGUUUCAGUCAAAAAUCCUCCAAAGGUUGACUGAAUGAAUCAUGUUGACAAUUGCUUGUUUCUCAUGGAUAAUUUUACUGAACUAGAAUUUGCUCUGAAUGCUGAAGGUUCCUGCAACUCAGGAACCAAAAUAGUGACUAAGUACAUACUGCUUGGAGAGAUGGAUUUAAAAAUUGUUUCCAGUAUACUUUUUAUUUUAAAACCCUUAUUACCCCUGAAGGAGUGUGUGUCAAGGUGAAGGUGGGGUGUAAAGCAAAUGAAUUAAUCUUUGGAAACAGAGUAAAAAUAAAAUAUCCAAUUAUUUGAAAGAAGGAAUUAAGCUAAAACAUGUUUUUCUUCUGUCUUUGUUAAAACAGCAGCUGAACGACUCUAAUUGAAAGGAUCAGAAUUGAGUUGUUGCACCUGUCUUCUUCUCUUGGCUGAUAGCGUAUGCAGUGUACUAUACACAAAACUAUAGUGUACAAUAGCAUUAUAAAAUAUCACAGGGAAAAAAAAUCAGAGUGUUAAGGAGGAACUUGCCCUAAAACCUCAGAAAAUUCUUUAAAAUGAGCCCUUAGGGGAUUAUUUUGAAAAAAGCUAUUAUUUUAUUUUCUCCCAUAUAGUAGGAGAUCAGCCCAAUACUAUUUUUUGAUGCCUCUGAACCUAUGGUGUUGAAACUGGACAAUCCCUGACUUUGUGGCAGAGAUGUAAAUACAUAUGCACAAUUUGCAUUUGAUCAUUUGAACUUCUGUGCUGGGGCACUGAUGAACUGAGAGCUCAGUGGAGAGCAACAAAAAUGAUUAUACGACUGUAGGGAUUUUUUUCCAUGUUAUUGAAAAGUACUAGCUUAAUGAUGACUAAAAAGGGGUUACUCCACUGUAUCUGUAAUACCUGGGAGAUAAUUUAUAGGAUCCCAGUGUGAUGUUAAAGUAACCUGGCUGGCUCAAAUUGCCCAAAGUAGAUGAUUUCAAGUUCAGGAUUAAGAUAUGUUUUCUUCCGUCAGAGAAAAAGUGGAAGCCCUGCUGCUUAUGUCAUUUAAAAACAAGACAAAAACAACCUCCCCCCAAAAAUGAAACAACCAAAAAAUGUAAUUAACAAAGCUCAAAGGAACACAAGGUACACACAGAAAAGAGUCUUGCUUUUGACUGUGGUCAGUAGACCAGAAGUCAUAAAGAUGCUCUUCCCCUCUGGUUCUUUUUACCGUGAUCUCUCCAGCAACUGGAGAGGGAGACAGCCUUGCUGUCAGAAAUGCAUCUAGGAUCUGCUGUUCUACAAGAGAGAACCAGAGACCAGUACCUGAAGAGAGGAAGUGGUGUAUUGUCCUUGCUUUCAUUUUGAGUGUAAUCCUUUGGUUUUGAUGUUGAACAUGUGUAUAAACAUGACUGUAUUAAGAGUAAUGAGCCCUCAUAUCAAUUUAAAUAAGCCUUUGAGACCCAGAGGAGCCAGGAUGAGCUCUGAGGUUUAUAUUUUAUUCCUUUCUUCUCUGUCACUAAGAAUUGUACAACCAUGCGUUCCUUUUUCCUCUUACAAUUUUUUCUAUUCUUGUGAGGUAUUAGUGACACAUAAUGCUCCUUUUUCUUCAGGCUGGAAACAAUGAACUGGAAAUGUAGGAUAGAGAAGGAGGAGGGAAGGACCUGACAAUAGACUUUAUUGCUCUGCCAGUGGCAAGUUUAGAUUUUUGGUGGGGCUCUCUAACCAGCCUUCAAGGCACAUCACUCCCUGUGGUGUUUCACUCGACUCAGCAAAUUGUUCCACCCAGCCAUUCAUUUUCAGGUCAUCUCUAUCUUCUUUGCAACAUAAAUCUCUUCUUCAAGCCACCACUUCUGCCUCACUGCUCUCACAUCUGUCUGCUAAACAAGAGCUGACUUUGUGCAACCAGAUAUAUAAAAUCAAAGGAGGGGCCUAGUCUGAGCCUUGAAUUGGCAUUAAUCAAUGCUACUGUCCUGUAAUAAAUAUCUGCAUAUCAUUUACAAAAGAUUUAAUCUAAAAAAUAGCAUUAAAGUAAGAUGUUUUUGAACUUGAAUGGAACAGUUAUAUUUUAUAUUCUUUUUGCUGCUUGCAGUCAUUUUGACACUUGAGACCAAGGUACCAUGAGAGAAGAGGGGACUGAGUCUGAAUGAAGAUUCUGGAUAAGGAAGCUGGAACAGGAGAGAGGAAAACUGGUGACAUCAACAAUUUUCUUAGGCCUAGAAUAUGUUCUAGUUUCAUAAUCCCUGACUCUGUGCUCUUAUUUUGCUUACAGGGAUUGCUACCAAGAUAGCUUUUUGGUUGCAUGUUACAUUCUCAUCCAAAAAUGGUUAGAUUGAAUUUAGCGUUGGUGCGCAGUUCUGGGGAGAAUGUCCCGUAUAAUAUAGGAUUACUAUGUAGUGCUUUGAUGCCUGAUGGGAAUGUGAAGCUACUCAUGCUACUGGUGGAUAAGACCAAAUGCAUAUCUUGGCAAACAGUGGUCAUAUACAAGCGAUUUUCUCUCUCUCUCUGUUUCCUUGUUUUGUGUGUGUAUUUCCAUAUCUUACACUUUAAUUCACAUUCUGCACCUAAAGCCUAUAAGUUGUAUAGCCUGGUGUUGCGGUAAACAAGAUGUCAGUGAAUUAAUAUGACUGAAGAUAAUAGUUAUUUCCGAGGUGUUGGAGUCACCGACCCUGGAGGUGUUCAAGGAAUGUUUGGACGUAGUGUUGAGGGACAUGGUUUAGUGAGAAGUAUUGGUGAUGGGUGGAUGGUUUGACUGGGUGAUCCUGUGAGUCUUUUCCAACCUUGGUGAUUCUAUGAUUCUAGGAACUUACCUUUGCAAUAGGAGAUGUGGGGGUAUAACUGGAUAAAAGCCUAAAAGCCAGCCAGCAAUUGCAUGGAGUGGGGCUGGAGAAGGAGGUUUGGGCAGCAAGAUGAGGGCAACAACAAAAAAAAAGUGAUGUGGAUAUGCUUCACAGUUACUUUUGCCAUGCUGUGUUUUACAAAGAAGCAUUUUGUGUUUGCUUCUCUUAAUAGGAAUAAGAACAAUGAUGAUAAGUAAUGCUAAUAUUUAAAUAAUUUUUAUAAGUAAGAGUAGCCUGUGUCUGGAAAUGCUUGCAGAAAACAGAUUGAGAUCCAAGCUGUUUCACAUCCCAAGGCCACAAGACAGAUUAAAAUGGAAAAAAUAGUUAUAAUUAACCCUUAAAUCAUAAAGUAUGUUAUCUGAAAACCCGAAGAUGCAUCUUUGAAGCCAGAAGGGAGAGAUUUCUAGGUUUAUAAAAAGACCAGCACUUAGAUGAGGAUGUUUUAAUAUUAGUUCUUUCUGUAAUCGUUUUUGAAAGGUCAGUUUCUCUCGUGGAAUGAAAAUCAAUUUCAAAAUUCAGGAAAUUUCCAUAGAACGUGAAUUUUUUUAACAGCUAUCAGUGAUGAUGCUGUCUUCUAAUGCACAGCAUGUAUUUGAUAACUGUGAAAAUGAAUAGUGUGCAUUUUCUGCCUAUGCCAAAUACUCCUUGCUGUUCAGCCCUCAUAAAUUGAGAUCACAGGUGAAACAGUAAAUACAUUCUGAAAUGAUUUACUGCAGAUUAAAAAAAUAAUAUUAAUCUUUACUAGUGAAUUUUGCAAAGUUUUGUCCACAAAGAGUAGCUUAAGUAAAGAUAAACAUCCUCUGUUUGUUUGUUUGCUUUUCCCUUCCAGUGUAUGUUUUAAAUAUUUGUGCAUAGAUCUUGCACAUAUAUAGCCUUAUGUGGCAUGCUUGGGAAUAUUCUUAACUGAAAAGUGGAAAGAGCAUUAGGAUAAAAUAUCCCUUUUCUUAGUCAUCUAAGCUUUCAUUAUCCAUGUCUUACUUUCGUAAGACCACUAUCUUCCCCUCACCCAACCCUUCAGGGCCUUGAUUUCCUUUCCAGCAUCAUGACAGUGCCCUUAAGGCCUUUUUGCAGCUCUGUGCUUAGUUUGUCCAUGCAGAUUUGCAGAUGAUCUCCCAGACUGGGCAGAAAAUGUCAAGGUUAUUAAUCUGAUUUGUGGCAUUGUUCAUCUUGCCGUUACUAACAUUGUGGAUGGCAUCUUUGUUAUUUUUCCAUCCAUUAGGAAUCAGAGCUUGGUAUAUAAUAGAACAUUAAUUUCAGAUGCAAAUUAGACAAGAGCAGAAUUAAUGAAAAGACGAGAACGUGAUUUUAGGGUCAUAUUCUUCAAGGCAGACAUCCUUGGCUUUAACACUGUUUGUGAUAAAGGUUUAUUUCGGUUCAGAAAUUUUUUUACUCAAAUAGACUUUCUCAGUUAUCUUUAUUCCUAAAAGAGACAGAGAAGAGUCUAGCUUUCUUUCUUUGGAUUCAGGGAGAGUCUGCUGGGGGCAUAUCCCCAUAUGGUCUCUCAAAUCAUCAGAGAACACAGCCUCUUCUUUUAUCCUUUCUUCAUGGCCGCAUUAUCCCUCCUUCCUUCCUCACUGGCUGAAAUACUCAUAGGUUACAGGCUUCCUGGUUUUUCUAAUACAUGUUCCCCCUUGUAUGUGACUCUCCUGUGGAUCAUACAUCACAUGUAUAAUUAACUCCAACUUUACACCACCCGGGGCGAAGAAGUUGAUAUUAAUUAGCCUAUUAGUCCUGUGUAGUAAGUCCAAGUUCGUAAGUUCAGGUUGUCAGUUGACCUUCGUAACUGAAGCCUUACUGGGUCAGAGUAUACAGACAUCAAGCGGAGAGGAAUUUGUAAGCCUCUGCACAUCCUGCAAGCUUUUUUUUAUCUCAUUUUCCAUGUCUUUUUUUUUUUCCUCUAAUGCCGAAAUUGUAUGCAUCUUUUUCUUUGAUAUUUUUUUUUCAAAUUUGUCCUUAUAUAUUGUAGGUGUCAAUACUUUAAAAUUAUUAUGAAACCUGAAGCAUUUACUUAAAAUUAUUUUUUGUCAGUUGUACAAGAGAAAGAAAUGCUGGUUUUUCAAAGAACUUAAACUGCUACAGAAGUUUUUUCACCUAGAAGUUUUUGAUACGGCCACUCUCAGGGAUACCCUAAGUCAAAUCCCCUAAAAGUAAAAUUCUUUCCUUAGAAGAUUUUAUUUCCAAAAUCCUACACAGUGUUACCAAAAGGUUUUAUUCUAUUCCCAAGAAGCUGAAAAUUAUCUAUUUUUGUCUCUUCAAAACUGUAUAUCCUUCUUUUAUACAGAUAAAAGGAUACCUGUAAAAGCUAACAACUGAAAUUGGAAGAUACAUUAUAUGUCCAUAUACAAAGAAAUGCAUUGCAAAGGACUGUUCUUACUAAAGGAAGUUUCCUGAGAAACAUUAGAGUAAAACUGAUUAUAAGAGCACAGUAGAAUCAUACUUACUUAUUUUGCUGUUCUCUCUUCUUUCUGCAAUCUCUUACUGUGUGAAAAUUCAACUAAAAUAACUUCUGUGCCAUCCAAUUCUUAUUGUUUUUAGGAAAGUUUAUAUCAUACAAGUGAUUGGUAAUAUAUACGUUCUAUAAUGUACUUAAUAGAUCUGAGAUUUAAUAGAUCUGUGAUUUUGCUUCCAGGUGUUAGUGUUAGAAACUUCAGUAUAAUUACCAGUGUUUCUUUGAAAACUCAUGAUUGGUAUGAGACACUUAUGAAUCACUAUAAAAAUUGUCAAGUCAGAUCCUGGGAGGUGCCAAGAGAUCCUAUGCAGGAGCUGUAACAUACAUUUUGUGGUUCUUACUGCACAUUUAAUUCAAGUACCUAACAAGCAAAGAAAGGAUCUUUAAUUUGUUAUCUUUAAUUUUAAAAGUCUGACUACUGUUUUUUCUUAAUUGCAAUAAUAACAAAAUGGAUACUAACCUUUUGAUAAGCAUAGUAGAAAUAUAAUGGGAAGGAAUGGGAAGAGUCAAAGGAAAUUCAGGGCAAAGACAAACAAAUUGUGGUAAGGAAGAUAAACUGGGGUGACAAGUAAAGCUGUGACAUAUAGCCAGGUAAUGAGAAGAGAAAUCUAAAGGAAAAUACUGUGGUUAGCUAAAAAAGUGCCAGUUCUGAGUAUGGGAUAGGUUGAAAGACUGCAGACACAGACAAUUCCCCCGAUAACUUUAGGCUGCAUGGCUUACCAGGAGGAGUUCAGCAGUCCAUAGUUCUCUUUUUCUACCCAGUUAAAUAUUUCUCUGUGCUGCUAUAUGUGCCCUGGUGAUUAAUUUUGUAGAAAAUCACAUUAACUUCAUAAUUUUAAGAUCCUUAGUGGUAAAUUAUGUGCUCUUGUACCCUCAUUCACUUCCUGUUUGAGGCAUAGAAAGAUUUCUGUGAGUAACAGUUAAUGUAAUUAUGCUUAAAGAAAGAAGGUAGGCAGUAUUAUAUGUCAUGUACAGAGUGCUGCAGGCAUUGAGUGACAGCUUUUCACAACAGCAUUGUAAGCUGAGUGGAUAAGCUUUAUCCUGGUAAGGUGCAUAAACUGGGGGGAUGGGGUGAAAGGCCUCUGAUUUGAUCUAUGGCACUAUCGUGAUUUCCCAUCUAACAUGAAUGGGAAGAAUUAUUAACUCCUAAAUAUGAUGAAUCAGUGUGCAAACUAUAAAUUAAUUGAUGAAGGAGUUCAUUCUGUCUCCUGUAGGUUGUUCUCGUUUAUCUCCACUGAGAGAUAAUACGCAGUUAGAAGUCAUGGCGCGAAACAUGAAAAAGGAGGAAAGGUUAUGCUAGCACAGAUGUUAAAGUACAUUUAUUCUGCAUCUAGAUGCUUUGUAUGAGGAAGAAGUAUGGUAAAUAUGAGGGGCGUUUGUUGAAUUAAGUGUAGUAUAGGGAAGCCAUACUCAUGUACUGGCCUGGAGGAACCAGUUAACCAAAAGAAAAAAGGAAGAAGCAGCAUUCUUUCAGUGGGACAAAACAAGAUUGUAAGGCUUUCAGGUCCUACUAGUAGAUACAUUUAAAAUACAUAAAAGUCCUCUGUUACACAAGGAUAGAUACAUUUUCAAAUCUGUUGUUGUUGAAGUGUGCACACAGUAUAAGCAAGUUCAAACCAGAAGUUAAAUAAAUUCAUAAAUUCAUAUGCCUGCAUACUAAGCUAGAAUGUGCUUCAGUAAAGGUCUAUCCAGAAGUUUAUAGGUGUAAUCAAAACGAUUAGAAAGUGAGGAGUUCACUUCAGAGAUCAAAUUCAGAAGAACCUGUGGUCAGGGGUGAAACGGUAUGGUAUAUGUGUUCUUGGUAGGUCUCAGAGUGCCAGCUAAAUCCAGAAUUAAAUAAAUAAAUAAAUAAAACCCACAGUCAGUUCGGAGGCAGUCCCUCCUAGGUUUGCCGUGUACGUGACUACAGUGAAGGCUAUCAGGAGCAGUCAACAUGGAUUCGCUAAGGCAAAAUCAUGCUUGACCAAUCUGGUAGCCUUCUGGAAUGUCAACACUGGCUGGGUAGAUGAGAGGAGAGCAGUGAAUGUUGUCUACCUUGAGUUCAGCAAGGUUUCUGACACUCUCCAAUAGCAAUACUGUAUGUAAGCUUAGGAAGUGUGGGACAGAUGAGUGGACAGUGAGGUGGAGUGAGAACUGCCUUACUGGCAUUGCUCAGGGGACUGUGAUGAGCAACAGUCUAGUUGGCAGGCUUAUAGCUCUUGGUGUUCCCCAGAGGUUGCUGAUGGAUCCAGUCUUGUUUGACAUAUUUGUCAGUGACCUGGAUGAAGGCAUAGAAUGUACUGACUGCAAAUUUGCUGAUGGUACAAAGCUGGGAGAAGUGGCUGACACACUACAAGGCUGUGCUACCAUUCAGUGAGACCUGGACAAACUAGAGAGUUGGUCAAAGAGGAACUUUAUGAGGAUCAAGAGGGGCAAGUGAAGAGUCUUUCACCUGGUGAGGAAUAACCCCACACAUCAGUACAGGUUAGGGGCUGACCUGCUGGAAAGUAGCUCUACAGAGAAGAACCUGGGUGUCCCAGUGAAAAACAUGUUGACCAUGAGACAGCAGCGUACCCUUGUGGCCAAGGACAAUAGAAUCCUGGGAUGCCUUAAAAAAGAGCUGGGCCGGCAGGUUGAGGAAGGUUCUCCUUCUCCUCUACUCUGCCCUGGUGAGGCCAUAUCUGGAGUACUGUGUCCAGCUCUUGAACUGGGCUCCCAGUUCAAGAAAGAGAGGGAAUGACUGGAGAGCAUCCUGUGGGAGCCACAAAGAUGAUUAGGGACCUGAAGCAUCUCCCUUAUAAAAAAAAAAAAAAAAAAAAAAAGUCGUCUGAGAGACUUGGGAUUGUUUAGUCUGAAGGAGAGAAGACUGAGAGGGGAUCUUAGCAAUGCUUAUAAGUAUCUAAAGGGCAGGUGUCAAGGGAAUGAGGCCAGGCUCUUUUUAGUGGUGCUCAGUGACAAGACAAGGAGCAACAGGUACAAACUGGAACAUGAGAAGCUCCAUCUUAACAUGAGGAAAAACUUUUUUACUUUGAGGAUGACAGAGCACUGGAAUAAGCUGUCUAGAGAGAUAGUAGAGCCUCCUUCUUUGGAGAUAUUAUAAAACCCAUCUGGAUGCUUUUCUCUGCAAUGUACUUUAGGGAACCUGCUUAAGCAGGCAGGUUGAACUAGAUGAUCUCCAGAGGUCACUUCCAGCUCCUAUGAUUCUGUGAAUGCCUUCAUUCAAAGUCCAGAUGUGUCAUAAUGUGACUACACUGUGAUAAGUGACUACACAAACCUGCUUCAUCUCUAGUUAAAACAUAUGCAGUGGUGGAAGAGAAUAUGUAACCAAUGCUAGCCUAUUUAGCAACACUAGUUUCCUAUGUCUUUUCAGGUGUCAUCACUGACAGUGCUUGAAAUUUGUGAGAAUCUCUUACCUACAUAAGGAAACUGCUGCAGGCAUACUGGCUGCAUGAAAUACUUUGCACUUGCCACUAUUUAGAUGCAGGUUAGGCAGACAGCAACCCUCUUCUACAGAAAUCUCACAAUCACAGGCCUAUACAAGUGUGGCUGUACAUGAAAGCACUACUGCUGUCUAUGCUAUAGUUCUAAGCAUCAUAUGGCUGAAGACUGAACUAAGUGUUCUUACUUCAAGUUUGAGUUAAGAAAAAGAGAAAUUACACUAUUGGCUCUGGCUGAUGAGAGGAAAUAGCCUGUAAAUAUUGUCAGUAAGGUGUACUCUUUUUUGAAUUACAGAUUUUCUAACCAAAACAGCUUACCUUUGCAGUCUUCUACAGAAGAAGAUGCUGGGCAAGAGCUGACUAUGUUAUGUAGUCAGAAUCUUCUUCUGUUGUAUCUACUCCUUGAAAUGUUCAGUGUUUUAUAGGGAUGAAUCUUUAGGACAUUUGGAUCCUCGGGAGCUGUUAUGCACUACACAUGCUUUAUUAUUUUUCAGAUCUUUGAAGGAAUGGAAUGGAAUAGAAGAGAAUAGUUGGGGAGGACCUGCAAAGAUCAUCAAGUCCAACUGCCUUACCCCUUCUGGGCUAGCAAAGUUAAAGCAUGUUAUUUGUAUUAUACAAACGUCUCUUGAACUCUGACAGGCAUGGGUCAUCAAUCACUUCUUCUCUAGAAAGCAUAUUCCAGUGUUUGAGCACCCUCAUCAUAAAUACAUUUUCCCUAAGGUCAAGUCAGAACCUCCCCUGGCACAGUGUUGUGCCAUUCUCACAACUUCUCUUAUUCUUUACCAUAUCCCCUGCUCAGGAAGUUGUAGAGAGCAAUGAGAUAACCUCAUAGUCUCCUUUUCCCCAAACUGGAUAUCUAACUGUCUUCACCUUCUCCUCAUGGGACGUUUUUCAAUGUUUUUAGUAGCUUUGUAUCACCUUCUGGAUGCUUUUAAGUAUCUUAAUAUAUUUUUUAUAUUGUGGAACUAAGAAUUGCACACAACAUUCAAGGUGAGGUCACAAUAGCACUAAAUGUGGUAGGAAAAUCACCUCUUUUGACUGGCUGGCUCUGCUGUGUUUAGUGCACCUGCUGAAUCAUGUUAAGCCUACAGUCAACCAACACCCCCAGGUCACUUUCUUCACAGAGUUGGAAAUCAUUGUUUUAGCCAAGUAUAUGCCCAAAAAAAUGGUUUAGAAUCCUAAAUGGACAGGUUAGUGUAGGAAAGGUUAAUGGGUUGCAAGUUCUGAGUGAGAUCUGAGAAAGUCUUUUGAAGUAUCCUGUGUGGGGAAGGUGUAUGCAAAUAUUGGAUUUGGGGGAGAGGAUAGUGGCUUCUAUAGCAAGGACAGGUAAUCUGAAAGCAGUUUUGGAAGAAAUAGUAAGCUGAGAAGAUCACAGAAAGGGACCUGUAUGCACAGGAGAAGUGGGCAGUGUAAAAGUUGAGAUGGUUUGAGGUUUCUGUUUAAGUAGCUUGGUGUGGGGAAGGAACAGUAGGAGGACUGAAGAAUUUUAGAUGAGUGUCUUUGAGCAUAGUCAAAUUCUGCAUGCAUCAAGUGCUGGGAGGAAAGGCACAGCAGCAGUUAGCAGUGUACGGGCAUGGUAGUCAUUAAUUCAGGGAGGCCAGAACUUCCCUCCAACUCCUCCAAGUGUUUCCCUGAUAUUCUCCUUUACCCUUCAUUGUGGUAUAACCAUUUUUUCAUCAGGCUGUGGAAGAGGCAGAAUGCAAAAAAUCUGACAGAUCUACCUUUUUAACUGCUAAACUAAAUGUGGAUUUUUGCUUUAGCCAUAAUUAAUUUUGGGGAAAAAUAGCUUUUGAGUGUAGUUCAGACAGAGGCCAUAUGGUGCAUCAUAAAGAGUCUCCCAAUAUUUAUGGGACACAGGACUUAGUAGAGUAAAUUGGACAGGUGUUGAAAGAGGGAUAGAUGCGCAUGUAGGGAGGGAAGGAGAACAAAAGGUUUCUUUGGGGACAGAAUUAUUUCCAUGGCUUCUUGGUAGAAGACUUGUUUAGUUGUUUUGUGGUAGCAAUCUGAUUUGCUCUUUACAUAUUGCAUAGUAAUUUCACAACCAGGAUUAAAUAUCUGUAGCCAGAGCAAACUUAUAUUGUUUCCUGCUUUGUCAUUCAGAAGUUGUGUAACUGAGAUAGUUCCGUUGUUCAGACUGUUUCCAUCCCAUUGAUGGAAAUGAAAAGAUAUUCAAUUUUUGAUUUUUAUUUCUGCAUUUAUCUGCUUUCAAAAUGAAUGUUUAAAAGUUCCUAUAUCUUAAAAUUUGUCUGGCCUGAAAAAGGGCUUUUGGGUAUUAGAACAUUAGAGAUUAGCUGGGAGGUAGAAGCUGAGUACUAAUACACGCACCUAGAGCAGUCAGACAGGCAGUCUUGUUUCAGGUGGCUCAAGAAAUAGUCUUCAACCCUUUUUCUGGAAGACACUGCUAUAUGCUAGUAAUAUAGGUUGGUUUGUUUAGCAGUAGGGAUUAGUACAUCAGUUUAAGAACAAAUAUAUUAGUUUAGCAAAAGGAAUCCAUGAGUGAUAUUUAUGAAACAUUCAAUUUCAGCUUUAGUGGGUGAACAGUCUUCUUGUUCCUCAAUAAUUCUGCACUGGGGACAUUACAGAAUACUUCUAUCUUCUGCCUCAAUGAUUUUGUCCCACGAGAAGCAUUGGAGUCACAAUAAAAUACUUCUAUCUUUUACCUGAAAAUUUGCAAGGACAUUUUCCUUGGGUUCCACAUACAUUGUUUUUCAGAAAUUGGUUCACUGUGGCCUACUGGGCAAUGGAAAUCUUCCAUACUGAGGAAAAGUGGAUGGAAAUAAGUCAAAGGUUUCAGUGAUGAAGCUGAUGGUGAAAAAAGGGGAAGAAGUAGGUGGGCGCUGAUGGUUUUCUGAUCAUUCUGCCUGAAAUUUUCUCCUUUUUAAUCAUGUGAUAUUUUUCUUCUGUGGUAUUUACAAGAUUCUUAAACUAAUACGUAGCAGCUACGUUACCUCCAUCUGCUUGUAUAAUCUUCGCUUUUUCUCAGUCAUGUGUUACUGAUUUUCUUUUUAUGCAUAUAUAACUUCCUUGAAUCAAAGUUUUUUUCUUACAUUUUUCAUACAUUUUUUUGUGAUGCUCAGGAUGCUUCUGGUUUGAUAUUUUGAUUUCUCAGUAGGGGUAACACAGGAGAGAACUAUCCCAUUUCAUAUGGUAAUUUCUGUUCAUCUUUAACAAAGCAAAUCAAAUUCCACUCCAGUGCCUGAUCUCAUACUUUCCAGGCUGCUGCUUCUCUUCUACUCCAAAAUCCCCCCUUUGCUGGGUUUUCAGAUAAUUUCAUUGAGCCUACCCUUUUUAAUUACAACUCUUCACUCCCCUAUUUCAGCUGAGCUCUAGCCAAUUUCUUAUUUAUAUUGCUUGAUAUAUAUAUAUUUUCCUCUUUCUCUCCUUAGCUAUGCUUCACUGUCUCCCUGGAGCGUUUUCAGCAUUCUGCACAAAGAGCACCUAACGAAACAAAACAUACUGUUCUUUGCAUACAACCUACAUGCUACCGCGAUACUUCUCUGGUGGAUCAAGAAUUGGGCAAAUAGGGCCAGAAACACCUUCCUUAGUAAAAUUAUUGUACUGGAUUGAUGUAGUGCAGUCUUGGAUUAGGCUCCAUGUUCUCCCACGCUGAGAGCAGCCUUGAUGUCAGGUUCUUAAUAGCAGUGUUGUCAUGGGGUUUUUUUUGUUUACCUGGUUUCUACUUAUAUAAUAAAUUUGGAUUUGUACUUUUUUCUUGGCUGUAGUGCAGGCUUGCUGUUUGACCUAAAAAAAAUCACCGUGCUUGCCUCCUGAAUAGUGUCACAUUUACAGGAAAAAAUGCUGUCCAUUUUCAGUACUGUUGUGUAGCAAGAUGUUUACAUGGACAUGUUCCAGCAUAUGAAACAUAGUUACUUUUAUGGUGAAGUAUGUCAGCAAAGCAGAUCUGUAUUGUCAUAAAUGAUGAAAACUUUUCUGUCCUGGUUACUGCCAAAGAAAAAAUGUAAUUACAGGAGAUGGAAUUUGGAAACUGUGCGGAGAUAUUGGAAUGGAAACCUUCUAAAGGACAUUGCCAAAGAUACAAAUGGUUAAGACUUAAGAAUACACUGUAUACUGUGGGGCAAUUUAACAUUGAUCUAGGAAAUCCACUCUUGCUGAUGCCAUGAAUGUCUCAGAAUCUGUG